rnacentral:tRNA from 1 species
UGGCACCCUAGUUUAAUAAAAAAAUAUCGGCCUUGUAUGCCGGGGAUUGCAGGGUGGGGUGCCU